rnacentral:rRNA from 1 species
UACGAAGGGGGCUAGCGUUGUUCGGAAUCACUGGGCGUAAAGGGCGCGUAGGCGGCCAUAUAAGUCGGGGGUGAAAGCCUGUGGCUCAACCACAGAAUUGCCUUCGAUACUGUAUGGCUCGAGACCGGAAGAGGUAAGUGGAACUGCGAGUGUAGAGGUGAAAUUCGUAGAUAUUCGCAAGAACACCAGUGGCGAAGGCGGCUGACUGGACAUGUAUUGACGCUGAGGUGCGAAAGCGUGGGGAGCAAACAGG